rnacentral:lncRNA from 1 species
AAAGAAGGAAGGUUGUUUAUUAGGAAAUUUUAUAUUCUGUAAUCUUGUGACUGUAUUUUCUCUAUGAUUACGAAUGUCAGGAGAACAAUAGUGAUACUAUUCUGAAGGAGUGUUGUGUAGUUCCAGUAGCAUGACUUAUUUUUUUUUUUAAUCUUCAUUUUAAUUGAUAUUUUGACUUGCCAAAAGGUCUGACCUCAUUGCCUCCAGACAAAAGUCCUACAAACUAAUAAACUGUACAACAAAUCAGUGUGUAUCAUGCAGGCUGAUUUUUCAUGGCUGAAUUUGAGUUCUGCACAAUUAAGCUGAAAAUAUAAGUUUAAUACCCAAUGUCUGCUUUUUCUCUUCUCUUUGACAGCCCACUUAGGGGAGGACUUAGCUCUGCUAAAGAAACAUUAUUUGGCAAAUAAUCUGAUCAAUUUCAUUUAUAUUCCUGGCAAUGAAAUGUUAAGAGCCUACCUCACCGUUACAUCAUCUAUAUUGUACAGAGUCGUUGGUAGGAGAUUAAAUUUUGAACCAAAAAUCCAAUUUCACAGAAAUAAAAAGUCUUACCUAAGUGCAUUAAGUAGAUCUUUAGUAGAGUAGUUAAUACCAAUUAUAUUCUGGGCUGUCUGAAUCAUGAAUUAUCCAUUCAGACAUGAUUCUAUUUUUUAUCUUUAAAUAACUCAGGUUUUUUUUAGAGGCUAGAUCAUCCUACUUUCUUUUGGCUGUUCAGUCUUGAAAUUUCCUGUGUUGUUUUAGAAAGCAAUGAUGGGAAAGCCAUGCUAGGUCAGCAGUUUGUAUAAAACAGGAGUUGAUCUGUCAGGUACUUUGACAUUCAAUCAACUAUAAAGACGAGCAAAAGGGAUAUUCUUAGUAAAGUCAUUUUAAAUAAAAAGAUACAAAAUUGACUUA